CACGUAGGGCGCAAGCGUUGUCCGGAAUCAUUGGGCGUAAAGCGCGUGUAGGCGGCCCGAUAAGUCCGCUGUGAAAGUCCAGGGCUCAACCCUGGAAUGCCGGUGGAUACUGCUGGGCUAGAGUCCGGAAGAGGCGAGUGGAAUUCCUGGUGUAGCGGUGGAAUGCGCAGAUAUCAGGAGGAACACCGAUAGCGAAGGCAGCUCGCUGGGACGGUACUGACGCUGAGGCGACGAAAGGCGUGGGGAGCGAACAGG
rnacentral:rRNA from 1 species